GUGCACUCUCAAAUGUGUUUUCAAAGUACCUUCUGGUCUAAAUUGCUUCAAACAAAUUUCACACUUGUAAGGUUUUUCUAGAGUGUGCGUUCUCAAAUGUCUUUUCAAACUUCCUUCUACACUAAAUUGUUUAAAACAAAUUUCACACUGGUGAGGUUUUUCUAGAGUGUGCGUUCUCAAAUGUCUUUUCAAACUUCCUUCUACACUAAAUUGUUUAAAACAAAUUUCACACUGGUGAGGUUUUUC